rnacentral:rRNA from 1 species
AACGCUGCGGCGUAGCCUAACACAUGCAAGUCGUAGAGAAAGUUGGCUUCGGCUGAUAGAGUAAAGUGGCGGCACGGGUGAGUAACGCGUGGAUAAUCUGCCUUUUAGUUGGGAAUAACGUACCGAAAAGGUGCGCUAAUACCGGAUAAUACUGCAUAACUACUGUUGUGUAGUCAAAGAAGGCCUCUGUUUACUAAGCUUUUGCUGAAAAGAUGAGUCCGCGUACCAUUAGCUAGUUGGUAGGGUAAUGGCCUACCAAGGCUACGAUGGUUAGCUGGUCUGAGAGGAUGAUCAGCCACACUGGAACUGAGACACGGUCCAGACUCCUACGGGAGGCAGCAGUGAGGAAUAUUGCGCAAUGGGGGCAACCCUGACGCAGCAACGCCGCGUGAGUGAGGAAGGUUUUCGGACCGUAAAGCUCUGUCGAGCGGGAAGAAAUGUAUCGUGGCUAAUAUCCAUGAUAUUUGACGGUACCGCUAAAGGAAGCACCGGCUAACUCCGUG